rnacentral:rRNA from 1 species
CCUACGGGAGGCAGCAGUAGGGAAUCUUCCACAAUGGACGAAAGUCUGAUGGAGCAACGCCGCGUGAGUGAUGAAGGGUUUCGGCUCGUAAAACACUGUUGUAAAAGAAGAACGUAACUGAGAGUAACUGUUCAGGUAGUGACGGUAUUUUACCAGAAAGCAACGGCUAACUACGUGCCAGCAGCCGCGGUAAUACGUAUGUUGCAAGCGUUAUCCGGAUUUAUUGGGCGUAAAGCGAGCGCAGACGGUUGUUUAAGUCUGAUGUGAAAGCCCGCGGCUUAACUGUGGAAGUGCUUUGGAAACUGGAUAACUUGAGUGCAGAAGAGGAGAGUGGAACUCCAUGUGUAGCGGUGAAAUGCGUAGAUAUAUGGAAGAACACCAGUGGCGAAGGCGGCUCUCUGGACUGUAACUGACGUUGAGGCUCGAAAGUGUGGGUAGCAAACAGGAUUAGAUACCCUUGUAGUC